AUGAUAGCCAUGGGUGCCCGACCCGGAUUUCACAUAUUCUUCGAUGUCAUAAAAAGGAAGCCUCGACCGGAUCACAUCGCAAGUUCUGAAGACAAACAGUCCAAUGUCGCCUCCGCCAACUUCGCGGGAAGACCAUCCACCAUUGUCUCUGUGGACUUCGCUGCAAGACCAUCCGCCGUUGCCUCCGCCGACUUUGCUGGAAGACCAUCAGUUGUCAUCUCCGCCUACUUCACCAGCUUACUGAUGGUUAUAGGAUAA
rnacentral:rRNA from 1 species